UCAUAAAACGUCACUAUUUAAACGCUCCUUUAGUUACAAUAUUGCAAAGACGUAUAAUGAAUGGGGGUUUACAGUGUAGUUGAAUUCCGCAGUUAUAAUUUAAUAACCGUGUACCUGAAACCAUAAAACAUUUUCUCUGUUUCGGUGUUAGAAUACGUCAUUCUAGCACGUAUUUUAGUGUUAGUCUGAACAGUGAACUCUAUUCUUAAACGAUUUUUAGUGACUUUUUUUUUCGACAGUUUGCAUUAAUAAGUUUGACAGUCGGCUUAUCGAUGACGGAAGCUGAAAUUAUGUGCCGUGAACAUCCAUCAUUUCUAAAUUACGUAAAGAUACGUAAUGUAAUUAACAAUAUCGAUAAUGUCCAUGUUAAUAUACAUAUGUUACGGUGAGCCGUAUGGUUUCGUUGUCAUAAAUAUGUUGUUGAUACUUGACUAACCCUACUUGUAGGUAUGAACUGAUUGCAAGGGCAAAGUAAUUAUCAUAAAAUGAAGACCUCGAAAUAUACUGUAAAGGAAACCAUUUUUAUUAAAAUGAACACAUUUUUGAUAUCGUAAGUUACUAUAAUCGGAUAACUUUGGUGAAAGAUCCACAUCGAAAGCUACAUCAUUCACAUAAGGAGUUUUUGUCAAGAUUGAAGCGGAAUUUCCUCUACUAACUGACUGAAGCCAAAUUGCGUUACACUUCGUAUGCAGUUUGAGAUUUCGGGAGCCCAUUUUGUUUACAGUAUGAUAUCAGAAGCCGUGCUAGCUUUAGCAACCUACGUCAAUACGAUUGAUCGAGUGACUGCGCUCACUUGUCAGUAAUACAUAAGUAAUGCGGAAUCAGAAUAAAACAGAAAGUAUACUAAACUAAACACUUGCUUAACUGUACAAAAUUAUACAUUAUGAAGAGGU